rnacentral:rRNA from 1 species
CCUACGGGAGGCAGCAGUGAGGAAUAUUGGUCAAUGGGCUUACGCCUGAACCAGCAAAGUCGCGUGAGGGAAGACUGCCCUAUGGGUUGUAAACCUCUUUUGUCAGGGAGCAACGCCGGCUACGUGUAGCCGGACUGAGAGUACCUGCAGAAAAAGCAUCGGCUAACUCCGUGCCAGCAGCCGCGGUAAUACGGAGGAUGCAAGCGUUAUCCGGAUUUAUUGGGUUUAAAGGGUGCGUAGGCGGAAUGCCAAGUCAGCGGUAAAAUCGCGGGGCUCAACCUCGCUCCGCCGUUGAAACUGGCGUUCUUGAGUGGGCGAGAAGUAUGCGGAAUGCGUGGUGUAGCGGUGAAAUGCAUAGAUAUCACGCAGAACUCCGAUUGCGAAGGCAGCAUACCGGCGCCCAACUGACGCUGAAGCACGAAAGCGUGGGUAGCGAACAGGAUUAGAUACCCGAGUAGUC